CGCCAACCAGCAGAAGGAGAGCAUGGAGCAGUUCAUCAUCAGCCAGCUAACCAGAACACAUGAUGUUUUAAAGAAGGCAAGCACUAACUUAGAGGAACCAUGCAAGAAGCGCAGCCACCAGAAGUCCUUAAAACAGCAGGAAACGUGGGCCUGUCCCCCUUUUGUGCAGCUACCUAUCUGCUGAGGAGCUUCUGGGCCUCAUUCCUCCAAGUCCACGGGAGGGUCCAGAAGAGGGGGUCAGAGAUGUAUCCUGGUGGAGCUGGGAGAAAACCAGAAAGCCUUUCUGACAGCUAUGGAAUACCGUUAGCCAAGGUCCACUUGGCCCAGCACUAAGCAAAAGAUGCGUAGUUUGCAUAGAAGGUUUUGUGAUACUGCUUCCCAACAGCCCCAGCAGCUUGGGAACUAGCAACAACACAUUUCUUGCCUCAUCAGCUGUCCUGAGAUGGAAAACUCAGUGGAUAUAGGACCCUGAUUACGAUGAAUGGGGCACAUGGUCCCAAUGCUGGAGCUCCUCUGGCAGGUUCUAAAAGCACACUACUGAGCAGCGGUGCCCUGCUGGACACUGCUGGCAGGGGCUCAGUGAGCACUACUCACAGAUCCACACCUGACCC
rnacentral:lncRNA from 1 species